UACGUAGGGUGCGAGCGUUAAUCGGAAUUACUGGGCGUAAAGUGUGCGCAGGCGGCCGAGCAAGUCGAGUGUGAAAUCCCCGGGCUUAACCUGGGAACUGCGCUUGUGACUGCAAGACUCGAGUACGGCAGAGGGGGGUGGAAUUCCACGUGUAGCAGUGAAAUGCGUAGAGAUGUGGAGGAACACCGAUGGCGAAGGCAGCCCCCUGGGUCGAUACUGACGCUCAUGCACGAAAGCGUGGGGAGCAAACAGG
rnacentral:rRNA from 1 species